rnacentral:sRNA from 1 species
CGAUACCAGGGUCAAAAGGUCAUGCGUUUCAUGCUUGCAUGAAAAAGCAUGACUUUGGGACCCGCAAAACAUGAGAAAGUAGCCCGAGCAGGGCGGAUUUCGAAUGUUUUUAGGAUUGCGGGAGCACAAAGUGCGUAGCAAUCCGUAGGUAUCA